rnacentral:tRNA from 1 species
UCACUAGGAAGCUAAACUGGGCCUAGCGUUAGCCUUUUAAGCUGAAGAUUGGUGACCCCCAACCACCUCUAGUGAA